rnacentral:rRNA from 1 species
ACGUUUCGAAAGGAACGCUAAUACCGCAUACGUCCUACGGGAGAAAGUGGGGGAUCUUCGGACUCACGCUAUCAGAUGAGCCUAGGUCGGAUUAGCUAGUUGGUGAGGUAAUGGCUAACCAAGGCGACGAUCCGUAACUGGUCUGAGAGGAUGACCAGCCACACUGGGACUGAGACACGGCCCAGACUCCUACGGGAGGCAGCAGUGGGGAACAUUGGACAAUGGGCGAAAGCCUGAUCCAGCCAUGCCGCGUGUGUGAAGAAGGUCUUCGGAUUGUAAAGCACUUUAAGUUGGGAGGAAGGGCAGUAAGUUAAUACCUUGCUGUUUUGACGUUACCGACAGAAUAAGCACCGGCUAACUCUGUGCCAGCAGCCGCGGUAAUACAGAGGGUGCAAGCGUUAAUCGGAAUUACUGGGCGUAAAUUGUGUGUAGGUGGUUUGUUAAGUUGGAUGUGAAAGCCCCGGGCUCAACCUGGGAACUGCAUCCAAAACUGGCGAGCUAGAGUACGGUAGAGGGUGGUGGAAUUUCCUGUGUAGCGGUGAAAUGCGUAGAUAUAGGAAGGAACACCAGUGA